rnacentral:lncRNA from 1 species
CGUGAACCCGGGAGGCAGAGCUUGCAAUGAGCCAAGAUCGCGCCACUGCACUCCAGCCUGGGCGACAGAGCGAGACUCCGUCUCAGAAAAAAAAAAAAAAAAAAGAAAGAAAGAAAUUGGCUUGGAGAUUUUUCGCCGGCCACUCCUUCUUGAGCCCUGACUGAAAAGAAAAAUGAACAGGGCUACCUUCUGCCUGGACUCACCCAAAAGCCGGUCUCCUGCAGCCUGAAGCUCUUGUACCUCUAGGCUGAAGAUGAUGAGGAUCACAAGGAGGAGGAAGGCUGCCAACUUCAUGUUGCUGUUGGAAGGCUUUGGAAAAACACAGCAGGGCUGAGAGCAGCUGAAAUUUAUACCUUCCACCCGCUGAGCUGGAAUGCAAGGCCAGGGGUGGGACUAGGGACUGCAGACACCUAAGCCCUGCCCAGAAACUGACAUUUCUGGAGAAUAGCCACCCACCCUGUGUACCCUGGGUCCUUCUACAUUACCUAAGCAAGGCUCUGAGCCAAGGGAACACCCUCCUCUGACAGAAAAAUAAGACUCCUACACCAGGCCAGGUGCAGUGGCUCACAUCUGUAAUCCCAGCACUUUGGGAGGCCAAGGCAGGAGGAUC